GGCAGCCUUAUUAUAAAGGUAGGAUUUUUCUUUUUCAUGCAUGGGUUCUUGUAUUUCUUUUUAUGUAUUUAGCGGGGGGGAGUGAAUAGUGAUUAAAAAGAAGAUCAAGCAGGUAGGUAUUUAAUUCGACUGAUCUUCGUAUGAUACUAAGUGAGCUGUGGUCAUCUUCCCAGUCUAUCAACUUGGUGGUGGCGUAACACUGACUGCAAUGAUUCUUGCACUGGUCUCUCUCACUGCAUGAAUCGGUUCACUUCAUAUAAAUCAGUAUGACUGUGAAUUCACAGCCAUGCCAGUUUAUUUAAGUAAACGGGUUUUCCUGUGAACCAGACUUUAGGAAGAAAGUUUUAGUCAGUUCUUCCGUUGCCAAAUUGAUUGAUUUCGAGGAUUGCUAUACCUUAUUUAGUUUCGCGCGAAAAUCAGAUUAAAUGUUUUUAAAAGAAGGUAAGUAAUUUACUAUAGGCGCGAGUUUGCUUAUUAUUGUUCAUGAGAUAAAAGAUGAGUUAACGAGAGAGACGAACGGUAAUUUAUAUUGUAAAUUGUUUAAUAAACGAACAGCGCCCGCAAGUGCUUUUAGAAAACACGAUGGGCCUAACUAGUCUUUUCGAUUGUUCACAGGGCACCUUUGGGCGAGGAACCAACUUCUGUAAUGGGUCACUGCUUCCAGUCUGCUUUCGUUCCUGUUGCACACGGUUCAGGCGCAUGAGUUACUAUCAUCUCACGACGUCGGGAUACCAGUUCCAGAACGUGAACGGGUGUGAGUAGCAGCGUGCCGCCUCUCCACUCCAGGCGAGACCGAACUAUAAGGCUAAAGGAUUCCAGAAGGGCAGCCUUAUAAAGGUAGGAUUUUUUCUAUUCUAAGCAUGAUCUAUUGUUUUUUUGUGUAUUUAGCAGUGGGGGAAAAGUGAAUAGUGCAUAUAGUGACUAAAGUGAAAAUCAAAUAAUACUGUCGCGUUAUAAUCAUAAGUGAGGCGUCGCCAUUUUCUUAGCCUAUCAUCCUAGGGACGGGGGACUGAUCGCGAUGAUCCUUUGGACGGUCUCGUUCGCGAUAUCUUUCGGUUUAUUUCAUUGAAUCAGUAUGACUAUGAAUUCAUGGCCAUACCGGUUUUGUGACCUAAACAGAGUUUGUCUGCGAAUCGGGCUGAGGGAAUAUUGCAGCCAAUCAUUCCGCCCCCAUGGUGAAUGUCUUCGACAAUGGUUAUACCUCAUUUUUUUGGUUUCUAAAGGUGAGUGAUUGAAGCACUAUAGACGUACCUAUUCUUUUAUUAAUCAUUUAGUCUUGAUGUUGAUCUGAGCUAGUUGAUUAUUGAAAGAACACGUCUAGCAUGUACUUUAAUGUGGUUACUAAUUUCUAUGAUUGUUCGCAGCGCCAGUGGUGGGUCUACUCCAGAGGUAGUCAUCUUCUGUGGUGGAUUCAAGUUCGAUGGUUCAACCUAAAGUCAUAAGUUAUUGGUAAUGGAUCUGAUGUCUGUACCUCACCAUCGCCGUUUGCCAGUGGUCUACGAACGUUCGGUUGUGGUGCCCCUUUUUCGGUUAAUGAUCUUCUCAGGCUAGAGCGAAUUAAUAAGGCUAAAGG